rnacentral:rRNA from 1 species
GCUGGCGGCAGGCCUAACACAUGCAAGUCGAACGGAGUUAUAUUGUAGCUUGCUAUGGUAUAACUUAGUGGCAGACGGGUGAGUAAUGUAUAGGAAUCUACCUAGUAGUACGGAAUAAUUGUUGGAAACGGCAACUAAUACCGUAUACGCCCUACGGGGGAAAAAUUUAUUGCUAUUAGAUGAGCCUAUAUUAGAUUAGCUAGUUGGUGGAGUAAUAGCCUACCAAGGCAAUGAUCUAUAGCUGAUCUGAGAGGAUGAUCAGCCACACUGGAACUGAGAUACGGUCCAGACUCCUACGGGAGGCAGCAGUGGGGAAUAUUGGACAAUGGGCGAAAGCCUGAUCCAGCCAUGCCGCAUGAGUGAAGAAGGCCUUUGGGUUGUAAAGCUCUUUUAGUGAGGAAGAUAAUGACGGUACUCACAGAAGAAGUCCUGGCUAACUCCGUGCCAGCAGCCGCGGUAAUACGGAGAGGGCUAGCGUUAUUCGGAAUUAUUGGGCGUAAAGGGCGCGUAGGCGGAUUAGUAAGUUAAAAGUGAAAUCCCAAGGCUCGACCUUGGAAUUGCUUUUAAAACUGCCAAUCUAGAGAUUGAAAGAGGAUAGAGGAAUUCCUAGUGUAGAGGUGAAAUUCGUAAAUAUUAGGAGGAACACCAGUGGCGAAGGCGUCUAUCUGGUUCAAAUCUGACGCUGAGGCGCGAAGGCGUGGGGAGCAAACAGGAUUAGAUACCCUGGUAGUCCACGCUGUAAACGAUGAAUGUUAAAUAUGGGAAGUUUUACUUUCUGUAUUACAGCUAACGCGUUAAACAUUCCGCCUGGGGACUACGGUCGCAAGAUUAAAACUC